rnacentral:rRNA from 1 species
UACGAAGGGUGCAAACGUUGCUCGGAAUCAUUGGGCGUAAAGCGCACGUAGACGGCUUCAAAAGUCGGAUGUGAAAUCCCGUGGCUCAACCAUGGACGUGCAUUCGAAACUGCGAAGCUUGAGUAUGGAAGAGGGUCGCGGAAUUCCCGGUGUAGAGGUGAAAUUCGUAGAUAUCGGGAGGAACACCAGUGGCGAAGGCGGCGACCUGGGCCAAUACUGACGCUGAGGUGCGAAAGCGUGGGGAGCAAACAGG